rnacentral:rRNA from 1 species
UAACUCUGGUUGAUCCUGCCAGAGGUUACUGCUAUCGGUAUUCGACUAAGCCAUGCGAGUUAAAUGUUCUUCGUGAACAUAGCGAACUGCUCAGUAACACGUGGAUAACCUGCCCUUAGGUUCGGCAUAACUCCGGGAAACUGGAGAUAAUUCCGAAUAAACCAUUGAUGCUGGAAUGCUUUUUGGUUCAAAGACUUCGGUUGCCUAAGGAUGGAUCUGCGGUCUAUCAGGUAGUAGUGGGUGUAAGGUACCUACUAGCCUACGACGGAUAUGGGUUGUGAGAGCAAGAGCCCAGAGAUGGAUUCUGAGACAUGAAUCCAGGCCCUACGGGGCGCAGCAGGCGCGAAAACUUUACAAUGCGGGAAACCGCGAUAAGGGGAUACCGAGUGCCAGCAUAUUAUGUUGGCUGUCCACAUGUGUAAACGGCAUGUGUUAGCAAGGGCCGGGCAAGACCGGUGCCAGCCGCCGCGGUAACACCGGCGGCCCGAGUGGUAAUCAUUUUUAUUGGGUCUAAAGGGUCCGUAGCCGGUUUGAUCAGUUCUUCGGGAAAUCUGACAGCUCAACUGUUAGGCUUCCGGGGAAUACUGUCAGACUUGGGACCGGGAGAGGUAAGAGGUACUACAGGGGUAGGAGUGAAAUCUUGUAAUCCCUGUGGGACCACCAGUGGCGAAGGCGUCUUACCAGAACGGGUCCGACGGUGAGGGACGAAAGCUGGGGGCACGAACCGGAUUAGAUACCCGGGUAGUCCCAGCCGUAAACGAUGUUCGCUAGGUGUCAGGGACGGUGCGACCGUUUCUGGUGCCGUAGGGAAGCCGUGAAGCGAACCACCUGGGAAGUACGGCCGCAAGGCUGAAACUUAAAGGAAUUGGCGGGGGAGCACUACAACGGGUGGAGCCUGCGGUUUAAUUGGACUCAACGCCGGAAAACUCACCGGGGGCGACAGCAAGAUGUAGGUCAAGCUAAAGACUUUACCUGAAUCGCUGAGAGGAGGUGCAUGGCCGUCGUCAGUUCGUACUGUGAAGCAUCCUGUUAAGUCAGGCAACGAGCGAGACCCGUGCCCACUGUUGCCAGCAUGUCCUUCGGGAUGAUGGGUACUCUGUGGGGACCGCUGGUGCUAAACCAGAGGAAGGUGCGGGCUACGGUAGGUCAGUAUGCCCCGAAUCUCCCGGGCUACACGCGGGCUACAAUGGCUGGGACAAUGGGUUCCUACACCGAAAGGUGAUGGUAAUCUCCUAAACCCAGCCGUAGUUCGAAUCGAGGACUGUAACUCGUCCUCGUGAAGCUGGAAUCCGUAGUAAUCGCGUUUCAACAUAGCGCGGUGAAUACGUCCCUGCUCCUUGCACACACCGCCCGUCAAACCACCCGAGUGAGGUAUGGGUGAGGGCACGGAUUUUGUGCCGUGUUCGAACCUAAAUUUCGCAAGGGGGGUUAAGUCGUAACAAGGUAGCCGUAGGGGAAUCUGCGGCUGGAUCACCUCCUAAGCAAC